UACAGAGGGUGCGAGCGUUGUUCGGAAUUACUGGGCGUAAAGCGCGCGCAGGCGGCCUUUUAAGUCUGACGGUGAAAUGCCGGGGCUCAACCCCGUGCCCGCCGCGGAUACUGGGAGGCUGGAGACACGUAGAGGCAAGCGGAAUUCCGGGGUGUAGCGGUGGAAUGCGUAGAGAUCCGGAAGAACACCGGAGGCGAAGGCGGCUUGCUGGGCGUAGUCUGACGCUGAGGCGCGAAAGCGUGGGGAGCGAACAGG
rnacentral:rRNA from 1 species